rnacentral:rRNA from 1 species
UUAAGGGUGCAGGGCGGAUGCCUUGGCACUAGGAGCCGAUGAAGGACGUGAUAAGCUGCGAUAAGCUUCGGGGAGUUGCACGUAAACUUUGAUCCGAAGAUUUCCGAAUGAGGAAACUCACUUAGAGUAAUGUCUAAGUAUCAUUAAGUGAAUACAUAGCUUAAUGAGGGGAACUCAGGGAACUGAAACAUCUAAGUACCUGAAGGAAGAGAAAGAAAUUCGAUUCCGUAAGUAGCGGCGAGCGAACGCGGAUUAGCCCAAACCAAUAAAGUUUUCUUUAUUGGGGUUGCGGACAUAUCAUAACGAAGAGGUAUCGUAAUUGAAGAGGUUUGGAAAGACCCACCACAGAAGGUAAUAGUCCUGUAUGUUAAACGAGAAGACUUNAGAUAUGAUCCAGAGUACCACGGGACACGUGAAACCCUGUGGGAAGCAGGAGGGACCACCCUCCAAGGCUAAAUACUACCUAGUGACCGAUAGCGUAUAGUACCGUGAGGGAAAGGUGAAAAGAACCCCGGGAGGGGAGUGAAAUAGAACCUGAAACCCUGCACUUACAAGCUGUGGAAGCACAUUUCUUGUGUGACCGCGUACUUUUUGUAGAACGGGCCAACGAGUUACGUUAAGUAGCAAGGUUAAGCACUUAAGGUGCGGAGCCGUAGCGAAAGCGAGUUUUAACUGAGCGUUCAGUUACUUGACGUAGACCCGAAACCGGGCGACCUACCCAUGAGCAGGAUGAAGCGAAAGUAAAAUUUCGUGGAGGUCCGAACCCACGAGCGUUGAAAAGCUCGGGGAUGACUUGUGGGUAGCGGUGAAAUUCCAAUCGAGCCCGGAGAUAGCUGGUUCUCCCCGAAAUAGCUUUAGGGCUAGCCUCAAGGUGAGAGAUACGGAGGUAGAGCACUGAAUGUCCUAGGGGGUAUUGCACCUACCGAAGACUAUCAAACUCCGAAUGCCGUCAUCUUAUACUUGGGAGUCAGACUGUGGGUGAUAAGAUUCAUAGUCGAAAGGGCAACAGCCCAGAUCGUCAGCUAAGGUCCCUAAAUGUAAGUUAAGUGGUAAAGGAUGUGGGAUUGCACAGACAACCAGGAUGUUGGCUUAGAAGCAGCCACUCAUUCAAAGAGUGCGUAAUAGCUCACUGGUCGAGUGAUCCUGCGCCGAAGAUUUCCGGGGCUAAAACUUACUACCGAAGCUACGGCAUCAGUAAUGAUGGGUAGGGGAGCUUCCCAUACGGGUUGAAGCAUGACCGUAAGGACAUGUGGACAGUAUGGGAGUGAGAAUGUUGGCAUGAGUAGCGAGAUGUGGGUGAGAAUCCCACAGGCCGUAAACCCAAGGUUUCCAGGGGAAGGUUCGUCCGCCCUGGGUUAGUCGGGACCUAAGCUGAGGCCGAAAGGCGUAGGUGAUGGACAACAGGUUGAUAUUCCUGUACUACCGAUAACCGUUUGAGAGAAGGGAUGACACAGUAGGAUAAGCUAAGCACACUGUUGGUUAUGUGUGCCCAAGCAUUGAGGCAGUCAAAGUAGGCAAAUCCGCUUUGAUAAUGCUGGGAUGUGAUGGGGAGCGAAAUUUAGUAGCGAAGUAGCUGAUUUCACACUGUCAAGAAAAGUCUCUAUCGAGGUUAAAGGUACCCGUACCGCAAACCGACACAGGUGGGUGAGGAGAGUAUCCUAAGGCCAGCGAGAGAACUGUUGUUAAGGAACUCGGCAAAAUGACCCCGUAACUUAGGGAUAAGGGGUGCCACCAUCAGGUGGCCGCAGAGAAUAGGCCCAAGCGACUGUUUACCAAAAACAUAGGUUUCUGCUAAGUCGCAAGACGAUGUAUAGGAGCUGACGCCUGCCCGGUGCUGGAAGGUUAAGGGGAUCUGUUAGAGCAAUCGAAGCAGUGAACUUAAGCCCCAGUAAACGGCGGCCGUAACUAUAACGGUCCUAAGGUAGCGAAAUUCCUUGUCGGGUAAGUUCCGACCCGCACGAAAGGCGUAACGAUUUGGGCACUGUCUCAACAACAGACUCGGUGAAAUUGUAAUUCCGGUGAAGAUGCCGGAUACCUGCGACAGGACGGAAAGACCCCAUGGAGCUUUACUGUAGCUUGACAUUGGGUCUUGGUACUACAUGUACAGGAUAGGUGGGAGGCUUUGAAACCAGGACGCCAGUUUUGGCGGAGCCAUCCUUGGGAUACCACCCUUGUAGUACUGGGACUCUAACCAUAGGCCAUGAAUCUGGUCUUGGGACACUGUCAGGUGGGCAGUUUGACUGGGGCGGUCGCCUCCCAAAAGGUAACGGAGGCGCUCAAAGGUUCUCUCAGUACGGUCGGAAAUCGUACGUAGAGUGUAAAGGCAAAAGAGAGCUUGAUUGCAAGACAUACAGGUCGAGCAAGGAUGAAAAUCGGACUUAGUGAUCCGGUGGUUCUGCGUGGAAGGGCCAUCGCUCAACGGAUAAAAGCUACCCUGGGGAUAACAGGCUUAUCUCCCCCAAGAGUCCACAUCGACGGGGAGGUUUGGCACCUCGAUGUCGGCUCAUCACAUCCUGGGGCUGUAGUAGGUCCCAAGGGUUGGGCUGUUCGCCCAUUAAAGUGGUACGCGAGCUGGGUUCAGAACGUCGUGAGACAGUUCGGUCCCUAUCCGUCGCAGGCGUAGGAAAUUUGAGAAGACCUGUCCUUAGUACGAGAGGACCGGGAUGGACGUACCUCUGGUGUACCAGUUGUCCUGCCAAGGGCAUGGCUGGGUAGCUAUGUACGGAAUGGAUAAGCGCUGAAAGCAUCUAAGCGCGAAGCCAACUUCAAGAUAAGAUUUCCCACCGCAAGGGUAAGACCCCAGAAAGACUAUCUGGUUGAUAGGUCGAAGGUGUAAGUGCAGCAAUGUAUUUAGCUUAUCGAUACUAAUAGGUCGAGGACUUGACCAA